rnacentral:rRNA from 1 species
AACGAACGCUGGCGGCGUGCCUAACACAUGCGAGUCGAACGAGACCUUCGGGCCUAGUGGCGCACGGGUGCGUAACGCGUGGGAACCAGCACUUAGGUUCGGUAUACCUCCCCGAAAGGGGUGCUAAUGACGGAUAAUGUCUUAGGACCAAAGAUCUUUCGCCGUUGGAUGGGCCCGGGUUGGUUUCGCUAGUUGGUAGGGUACAAGCCUGUCAAGGCGUCGUUGCAUAGCUGGUGGGGGAGGAAGGUUCGCAAGGCUGGGGCUACGGCCCGGCCCAGUCGGCGACGGGAGGCAGCAGUGUGGAAUAUUGGAGGCUGGGCGAAGGUGUGAUCCAGCAAUGCCGCGUGAGUGGUGAAGGCCUUAGGGUUGUAAAGCUCUUUUACCCGGGAUGAGAGUGACGGUACCGGGAGAAUAAGCUCCGGCUAACUCCGUG